rnacentral:rRNA from 1 species
UACGAAGGGGGCUAGCGUUGUUCGGAAUCACUGGGCGUAAAGGGCGCGUAGGCGGCCGUUCAAGUCGGGGGUGAAAGCCUGUGGCUCAACCACAGAAUUGCCUUCGAUACUGGAUGGCCCGAGACCGGAAGAGGUAAGUGGAACUGCGAGUGUAGAGGUGAAAUGCGUAGAUAUUCGCAAGAACACCAGUGGCGAAGGCGGCUUACUGGUCCGGUUCUGACGCUGAGGCGCGAAAGCGUGGGGAGCGAACGGG